CUGGCGGGGGGCGCCUGCAGCGUGGCGCCCUCUGCUCGGGAGUGCCGCAGCUUUUCCAAGGAGCCCCCGAGGAAUUCAUUGCUUGCCUCCRGUCAGAAUGGCCCUUGCUGCAAAGCUAGAGCACGUCCAGGGCAUGUGUGUACAUGAAACAGCACGACUGCAGAAAAUAACUAGCAGUGGUCUGUAACUUAAAGAGGAUCAAAACCAAGAGCUGAUUUGACCAGUGGGCUCUAAUAGAGAUUGUUCAGAAGAGMAUUCCCCCCACAUAUGAGAAGCUAGAAGAGUUUUGGUGAUCCAUAUGCUGAGUAAAAGGGAGAAGCUGUUCUUCAUUCUACCCAAAAUAUGUUGCUUUGAUAAACAUCAUAUGUCUGAGAAACAGUUGAAAGAAAAAGCAUCCACAACAAA